CAUUAGUAAAAAUAUAAAGCAUUUGUAAAAAUUUGUAAAAAUAUAAAACCAUAAUAUACAUAAAACACAAUUACUUAAAAUAAAUCAAUAAAUACACAAACACUUUAACCAGUGCUUUCUCAGACUGGAUGAGUAACGGGAACCACUCAGUGUCGGAUCUGUAAGUGCUAAAAUUAUACUGUUACUCGAACCAUCCAGUCGUUCUCUAAAAUUGUACAUUAACUUUCUUAAAAGUGCUUUAAAAGUCCAAACACCCACAGCUACAAACAUCUGACUGGCACUACCACUUCUAGGUAUCCUGCAAAGGAUUCUCAUCGCAUCAUUAUAUGCAACAUGCAGCUUCUGCAUGCUACAUUGUUUGUAGGAUGACCACAAGGGGGCAGUAUAUAGCGGUGUGCAAUACGCUUUAAACAAAGCCACUUUAACAUUUUUUAUUUAUUUUCAUUUUACUUAAAAUAUAUGUUUUUGUUAAGUUAACAUAUGUUUUUCUAAUCAAGUCUACGUAAUUGUGUCUAUUAUUCACUGUACAUAAUACUAAUGUGUUACUUGAUGGCAUAACAUUUAAGUUAAGUCAAUUAGGAUCGAUAUACUUUGUAUAUCCACAAGGUGGCACUAAUGCAAAAACAGUUGUAAUGAAACCGCGAAGAACAACAAGGUUUCACGGCUUGGGCCUGCUCAUGCGCAAGACUUCAAAUUUAACUUAAAAACGUUGUUUUGGCGCCAAGCUGCUGUUUCUUUGAGAGAUCCUGCCUUUACCUGCUCCCUCCUAUACUGAUGUGGUGUAUGUGGUACUGCUGAGCUUGUAUGUGAUCUGAACCAUUGUAAAGGUUGCAGUUCAAGGGCCUGAGGUGGAAGCAGAAUUUGUGGAUUACUACUGCUCCACUUGUUCCAAGGCUUUUUGCACAACUUGACCAAUACACUGACCAGCUCAUAAAAGUCUUCAAGAAAAAAGGAGGCGCUGCAGUGAAGAAAAUUAGACAAACUUUGGCUCCAGCCACAAAGAAGGAAACUAUUGAAAACGGGAGGGAGUGUGUCCUCAGGGCACUACCUUUUUACCUGAAUGAAGACCCAAGCAUCCUCUUCAAAGAAUAAUUGCUACAGCUACAGCUGUUCAGAGGGAGCUGGAACAAAUUACCCUUGCUAUCUUCACCAUUGAAAAAGCUGAUGUCAGCACUCCUCCAGCCGAUGUGGGUAUAACCAUCUAGGGUGUUCUGCAUGACCUGGAAAACAUGGCCUCUGCAUGUGCACUCUUAAUGGGUGGGAUAUACUGUAUGCACUGAAUCUCAGUUAACCUCGAGACUGAAAGCUUUCUUUGAAGUACUUCAGAAGCUCUUCCUUCAUCUGUAUGUCAGCAGACUCUUGACCAAGGUACAGAUACUCAAGAAUAAACUGAACGAAUAAGCCAAUCCUUAAUUUGGAUGAUGAAUGUUCUGUCAGAUGGACAGAAGUUUUUCAGAGGCUGAAUGGGAAUAAAACGGUAAUUUGUUGAAAAUGACAGAUAAAGGGAAAAUUACAUUUAAGAGAAAUUUUGAAAAGUUUGUAAACUACUACAAUUUGAGAGAUUUUACUCUUGUGGGGGAGGGGGGCUAGUAAGAGACAAUCAAAAGUGUUGAGAUUUAAAGGAUUUAAUUGAGAGAUGAUACUGCACCAGAAAUGUUGAAGGGUGGUGUGUAUAUUAGCGUUCAAGGUAUAUUGUUAUGAGGUGGAAAUAUGUUCAUAUUCUGUUUGUGUUACAUUGCGUGCAUUGUAAAGGUAAUUGCAAUACAUACUAAGAAUAAGGGUAAGUUAGGAAUGCAGGAUGAAUGUAUAUUUUGCGGACUUUUAAAGACGAACAAUUGUUUCCAUGUUAAAAUGUUUACAACCCAAGUUUUUUGCCCAAACACUGGUAAAAUAAACGUUGAGGGUGGCAAGUGUUAAAUGGUUACUUUUGUGCUGUUGCAAAAAAACUGAACGCUGACAAGCUGUUUUAUUGUUAGACCAUAAUGCUGGCAUGCUUUAUUUAAGUUUUAUUUGGGAUGGUGAUAUAAUUUUCUUUGAUUGCUAAUAUCAGUGGACUAUUUAUUAUCAUUAUUAUUAUUAUUAUUAUUAUUAUUAUUAUUAUUAUUAUUAUUAUUACAACAUUAAUUUUUUUAAUUGUGGCUGUUGAGGUGGACACUUCACUUUGCAUUGUUAAAGGAAAGCACUUCAUUGGCGUUGUGUUACUGGACUGACCCUAAGCAAUCAUUGCAAAUACCAACUUUGCUAUCCAUUUUAGACACUAAAAGAAAAAGGACUCCACAGACCUUACUAGCAUCACAUAUGCGUAACUCAAGUGUCAUCUUAUCAACAUGUUAUGUGGUCUUCAAUGUUUUUUUCUUCUAUUUCUGGCAGAGACAGACAUUUAAUUUAAAGUCUUGAUGUUGCAUCUGUCUACAUACUGUUAGUUACUAACCCUAAUGACCUGUUGUGUUUUAUUUUGGACUGGGUUUACACAAAUGCUCACUGAAUGUGUUGGCAAUAAAAGAAAUUUAAAAAAA